UACGAUCACCGAAGUUAAGCAACAUUGAGCCUGGCUAGUACCUAGAUGGGUGACCGCUUGGGAAUGCUAGGUGCUAUAA